ACGUGUAAAGCUCAAAAGGCUGAUGUCAGAAACGAUGUAACGUUAGGACUUAAAUUGUAAUCUGUUCUGAGACCAGAUUUAUGCAUCCCGCGCUAUCGUUGUCUGCAGCCUGUGUAGUGCUAGAAUGCUAACGCUAGUUCCCAUUACAUUUUAAAUACGUUAAUGUGUUCUUCAAGAACCUUGUUUUUUUACUGACAAUGUACAUCAUAUAACACGGAUUUGUUGUAUUUGCUUUGUUUGCGUGAUAUUUCUGGUUCGUGUAGUGCUAAUUAUAAAUGAAAAGCCUUUGAGGGUUCUCAGCGUAACGUUACCAGAGAGUGAUUGACAGCACGACGUGAUAAUGUCCCACCACUUAUAACGAUGUAUUAAAAUAUGGGUGCAUUACUAAAAAGCACAAAUCUCAGGACAUGACAAAAUUUCUCCAGGAUUUAAAACCCACUCGGACCCCAGGGGGGUUAAAUGAUUGAUCUGCACAUAGAUGCAGCAUCUUUGCCUUCAUUAUGCAGACUACACAUAACAGAUUGUUCAUAAGAUUAUAUAGUAUAUACUGUACUUGUCAACUAAUAAUUCUGUUAUUGUGAGGUGAUGCAUUUUUGAAUUGUUUGACAUUAAAUUGAUAGCAUGUAGAGUACUCAUUUGUGCUGUAAACUAUGUGAUGCUGGACAUAUCAAAUAACUGUAUUUGUGUUCUUCUGUUACAGGUGUGGACUGAAACCACUGGAGCACGAGACAGGGGUGGAAAAAGAGCCCUUAACGCAGUCUGGCACAAAACAUCAGACUGUCAGCAGUUUAAGCGUUCAAAAUAUUUUUUGUUCAGUUGAGUUUAAAUUCACACAAACAGUGAUUGACACCUUCAGUGAAGCUCCUCCCACAUCAAUCCACCAAUAAAUACCAGAAACCAACAAGCAGAAGAAUCACUUCAGGUGUCAGAACUGAGAUCUUCAGACUGUUGUUGGAGUUGCUGGAAGAGAAGCUUGAGAACACGAGAGAUCCAGAACUACACAGAACACAAACUGAGGGACUAAAGAACACAGAGAUAUGAUGGAAGUGAAUAAGGACAGUCAAGAUGAAGUAAAAGAUGCUGAUGAGAAUCAUCAGUGUGCACAAAAAUCCCAGAAAGUUUCACAGAAAGGAGCUCUGAGAACAGGAGAUAAAAAGUGUGGAAACAAAUCCCUAAGACCCGGACACAUGAGAACUGACAGUGAUGAGAAGACGUUCACGUGUCAUCUGUGCGGGAAGAGUUUCACCUGUAAACGAGACUUUAAGACACACAUGAGGAUUCACACCGGAGAGAAACCCUUCACGUGUCAACAGUGUGGAAAGACUUUUAAAACUACAAGUCACCUAAUGGGUCAUUUGAGAACUCACACCGGAGAGAAACCCUUCACAUGCCGUGAGUGUGGAAAGAGUUUUAAAACUACAAGUCACCUUAAGAGACACAUGAGGAUUCACACCGGAGAGAAACCGUUCACGUGCAAACAGUGUGGAAAGAGUUUUUCAUUAAACAAUAACUAUAAGGAACACUUGAGAAUUCACACCGGAGAGAAACCGUUCACAUGCCAUGAAUGUGAAAAGAGCUUUAGCAGCACAAGUCACCUUAAAGAACACAUGAGGAUUCACACCAGAGAGAAACCGUUCACAUGUCUACAGUGUGAAAAGAGUUUUACAGCCUCAAGUAACUUUAAUAAGCACAUGAGAGUUCACACCGGAGAGAAACCGUUCACAUGCUCACACAGGUCUUCAUCAGAGCUGAAAGAAUGCAACUGCACAAAGAUUCAUCGAAACACAUCAGCAAAACGGUAUCCAAUGGUGUCCAUACAAUUUUUAUCAAGAGUUCUUUAUGAAUAUAUAUAUUUAAUAGCUACACUCCCGGCCGUGUUGAGACUACAGCGCUGACGUCAAGCUCCCUUUUCACAGCUAACCAAUGACAGUGACCUCUCGUUUCCAUAACAACAUGCGAGGUGCGUGAUUGGUCUAGAACGCUCAAGCUCAAAAAAUAAAAUGGCGGCUGAAACGCCCUUUGGAGCAUUGUUUUGUAAAGAUAUGUUAAUUUUCAAUUUCAACAACUUCUGAUUGCAUUUCUAGAGAGAAUUUAGUAUUGUAGUUUUUAAAUAAUUUUAGUUAUUGCAAAGACACUCUCUGUUUAUAAUUCAAGUAGACUUCGAUAGAAACGAAACCACACACAGGUUUCCAUUAACAGUAAAGUUUGACAUGAUAAACGUCAGAUCAAGAGCAGGUGCUGUGUGUGUGAUGGCCGGUAGGCUGCACUAUAACCUUCUGUUGUUUAAACUUGGCGAUGUGUUGGAACUGUAAUGCGGUCAGCAGACCUGGAACACUUUCAUAGGUGUGCAUUUAACUGAAAGUUAAUGCAUACCCAUAGAACGUUUGUCAACCAAUCAGAUUUAAGGAUUCAACAGCUCCGUGGUAUAAAUAUAUAUAGGCCCUACCCUUACGAAAAUUAACAAGUGUAGUAACCGUGGUUUUUGGUGCAUUGAUUACUUAGGGCAAAACCAUGGUUUUACUACAGUAACCAUCGUUUACUAUGGUUUUGACAAAAAAACAUGAUUUUCAAAACCAUGGUUAUUUUGUGAUAACCAUUGUUUUACUACAGUAGCCAUGGUUUUUCAAUUUGAACUGUAGUAAAGCCAUGGUAAAUUUUCGUAAGGGUGUAUAACGAUGGGGGGCGGGUUGUCUCGCAUCAUUGCGAUUUUUUUGACCCCGAUGUGUUUGCAUCCCUGGAUUUGUGUCUUCUGUAUGUGAUGGUGAUGGAUAAAAUCAACAGUACAUUAAUGUUCUAAUUAUUUACGUACUGAUAAGAUCCAAAAUGAAGAAGAGUAACGUCUAGAUUAAAUACAACUGUGUACAUUUUUGGCAUUUAUGUAAAGUAACUAAAGUACGCGGAUAUUCCACCUGGACUAAAGAGCCUCUACACUAAACAAUCAAAGAAUGUAUGAAACGAUCUUCGUGAGUCUAGUGUUGUGUGUGUUGCGUCUCCAGUCCAGCAGGAGUCGCUCUGCAGCUCUUCAGUCCGCCGAUAAACCCACUAAAGAAAGAAAGAAAGUCAAACAUCGAGCGCUGCGUGUUCACAUCACUCUGAUUUUCUCUCUUUAGUGUUUAAAACAGAGUGUUGUGUGUGUGUGUGUGUGUGUGUGUGUGUGUGUUGAGGAUGACGUCACAGAUGUGCUGUAAAUCAGUGGGAACUGAUCUGUCCAUGCUGGAUAUUGAUGAUUUCAUCACAGAAAUCUGUCAGCUGAAGAAAGAGGUGGCGUUACUGGAGGAAAAGCUGAGGACAAGAGGAGAUGAACUCAACACUGAGAUUGUGGUAAAGGUCGAGUCAAACCCCACAGACGCUCAGGACACUGUGUGUGACAGUAAUCACACCUUGAAUCAGGAUGAAUCUACUGAUCAAACCUCCACAGAGUCUCUGGAUUCUGUCUGUAACGCUGGAGAACAGCAGAUCCUGAACACCAGACCACUCAACAUGUGUUCUGUCACACUGGUGGACUGCAGGAAACUGAUGGAGAUGAAAACUGAACUCAUAGUAAAGGAAGAACAGACUGAUGAAGAUGAGAAUCAUGAUGAUUUUGUUCCUGCAAUCAAACUGGACACAAAAACAGAACCCACAUCAGAGGAAGAACAGCCUGAAGAAGAUGAGAAUGAUGAUUUUAUUCCUUCCGAUGAGAGCGGUGAUUCAUGUUGUGAUGGAGAAACGUCCUCUACAUCAAAACAGUGACUGACAGCACAAACUCUUUCCUGCAUCACCUGUGGAAAGACAUUCAGUUCACAGAGACGUUUAGAGACACAUGAGAGAAAACACACAGAACAGAAACUCUUCACCUGCACCAGAUGUGACAUCAGC